rnacentral:rRNA from 1 species
GGGGUAAAGGCCUACCAAGGCGACGAUCUGUAGCGGGUCUGAGAGGAUGAUCCGCCACACUGGGACUGAGACACGGCCCAGACUCCUACGGGAGGCAGCAGUGGGGAAUAUUGGACAAUGGGGGGAACCCUGAUCCAGCCAUGCCGCGUGUGUGAAGAAGGCCUUAUGGUUGUAAAGCACUUUAAGCGAGGAGGAGGCUACUUUAGUUAAUACCUAGAGAUAGUGGACGUUACUCGCAGAAUAAGCACCGGCUAACUCUGUGCCAGCAGCCGCGGUAAUACAGAGGGUGCGAGCGUUAAUCGGAUUUACUGGGCGUAAAGCGUGCGUAGGCGGCUUAUUAAGUCGGAUGUGAAAUCCCCGAGCUUAACUUGGGAAUUGCAUUCGAUACUGGUGAGCUAGAGUAUGGGAGAGGAUGGUAGAAUUCCAGGUGUAGCGGUGAAAUGCGUAGAGAUCUGGAGGAAUACCGAUGGCGAAGGCAGCCAUCUGGCCUAAUACUGACGCUGAGGUACGAAAGCAUGGGGAGCAAACAGGAUU